GUUUCAGUAAUUGGUGAAGAAAUAGCAGGUGUUGAUUGAAACUAAAGAGGUAGGGUUUUGAAUAGGUGGAGAAUUGAGAGGUCUGUGAUGAGAAUGAGGGGAUGAAGUUAGGGUUUAGAGAGUACACGAGAAAGCAUCCUGUAAGUAUCACCUCAAUUUUAUGAAUUCCAAUUGCGUUUAUGUGCUUGAUUUCUGAUUUAGAUACAAUUGGGUUUAUGGGUUUGUUGAUGAUUGGAAUUUCGAUUAGUAAUUUACUAUUUUUUGUGCCCUGAUUAUUAUGAUACUCUGUUUGCACUGUUUAAAUGGAAGCUCAAUUGAUGAUUGAUGGGUUUGAUUUGCUGAUUAGUACUUCAAUUUUAUGAAUUCUAAUUGCAAUUAUCUGUUUGAAUCUUGAUUUUGAUUGAAUUGGGUUUAUGGGUUUGCCGGAAGUUGGACAUUGGUUACAUGGGAACCGACAAUUUUAAGGUUUCGUGUUCAUGAUUUUCAUGGAUUCAAUGUAAGUUUGCUUAACCUAACUUACUUAAUUGUCACUCUGUGUUUUGUUCAUCAACUGUUGUUACUGGUUACUUUGGAUUCAAACUAACUUAUGAGCAGAAUGCCUGUUUCUUUUUUUACAUAAAUUUGUAAUUCAAAUUGCGGCUUCAUGGUCUUCUCUUCACAUAUACGUAUGUGUUCAUGUAUGUAGUAACUAGUUCAAAUGUGGUGGUUUGCCUUUGGCUAUAAAGGCAAUCGGAAGGCUAUUGAGAACGAAAACAGAUAGAGAAGAUUGGGAUGACCUGUUGAAUAGUGAGAUAUGGGAUCUAGAAAAUGCAAAUGAAAUUGUUCCAACACUUAGGCUAAGCUACCAUGAUAUGAUGAUGAGGACAAUCGAAACGCACAGGUGUUACUGGAAUAGAAACUGCAGCAGGGCUAAUUGAAUGCCAACGUUGCUCAUAAAGAGGCUUCUGAAGGGAACUUAAACCAAUGGCAUGCUAACGGAUCUUCAACAGCAGUAUUUAUAAAGAUUUUAGUAGUGUAAUAUUCAGGAAAAUGGAGUAAACGGUCGCAUGAGUUCAUUGAAUCAGCAUUUUAAUAACAAUCAAAGUCUUAAGUAGCCGACCCUGGGGUGGGCGGGGAGGACCACCAGCCAGGGGACGUCUUUAUCUCGGGGCUCAUUUGCUUUUCCAACGCCCUUAUUUCUGGUCAUCGCCAUUUGUUGACCCGUUUACCCCUGUGCAACUACCAGAUAACUGGGAGAAUACACCUCUUAGCCAUUAUAGCUGGUCCUACGGGACGUGACAUGGUGGUUGUGGGCUUGAUCUCUUAAAGGGUGGUUUUGUUCCAAUGGUGGAAAUAGAUGGUGGUGGGUGGUGUUUAACGUGGGCGGUAACGGAGCGAGAGACAGUGAGGUAGCGACCGGAUAUCGCUGACGCCCGCGGGGAGGGAUUUAUCGGAGACGGUGAGGGGUGGUCGCUGGUCUUUAGUCUUUAAGCUUUAUUACAUGUUGGGUGGUGUAGUGGGUUGUUGGUCUAAUCUUAUUCAUUUAAUAUAUUGUUUUAUUUAUGAUGUUUUAAAUAAACUAUCAAAGUAAGAACAUGAAAUUUUAGAUUAAACCAAUUUGGACAAGUUGU